AUGACUCCUAAAUUGCCUCCUAAGAUUAGAAAGUUUGAUUUUGUAUGUGAGAAGCGUAAGAAAAAGAAAAGACUUGAUGAGUUAACUCAAUCUCAAUCAGGAGCUCUUGAUAAAUUUAUUAUAAAAGAAUCACAAAUUUCUGAUGAAAAUCAUAAUGCUGAUGUUGGAAUUAUUGAAAAUAUGAGUGCUAAAGACAAAUCAUCUAGACUUUUUACGGCUAAUUUGUAUACUAGAGUUUUAUCAAAUGGAGAGAAACGCGAUAGAGAUUGA